rnacentral:rRNA from 1 species
AGGGGGUAUUGCACCUACCGAAGACUAUCAAACUCCGAAUGCCGUCAUCUUAUACUUGGGAGUCAGACUGUGGGUGAUAAGAUUCAUAGUCGAAAGGGCAACAGCCCAGAUCGUCAGCUAAGGUCCCUAAAUGUAAGUUAAGUGGUAAAGGAUGUGGGAUUGCACAGACAACCAGGAUGUUGGCUUAGAAGCAGCCACUCAUUCAAAGAGUGCGUAAUAGCUCACUGGUCGAGUGAUCCUGCGCCGAAGAUUUCCGGGGCUAAAACUUACUACCGAAGCUACGGCAUCAGUAAUGAUGGGUAGGGGAGCUUCCCAUACGGGUUGAAGCAUGACCGUAAGGACAUGUGGACAGUAUGGGAGUGAGAAUGUUGGCAUGAGUAGCGAGAUGUGGGUGAGAAUCCCACAGGCCGUAAACCCAAGGUUUCCAGGGGAAGGUUCGUCCGCCCUGGGUUAGUCGGGACCUAAGCUGAGGCCGAAAGGCGUAGGUGAUGGACAACAGGUUGAUAUUCCUGUACUACCGAUAACCGUUUGAGAGAAGGGAUGACACAGUAGGAUAAGCUAAGCACACUGUUGGUUAUGUGUGCCCAAGCAUUGAGGCAGUCAAAGUAGGCAAAUCCGCUUUGAUAAUGCUGGGAUGUGAUGGGGAGCGAAAUUUAGUAGCGAAGUAGCUGAUUUCACACUGUCAAGAAAAGUCUCUAUCGAGGUUAAAGGUACCCGUACCGCAAACCGACACAGGUGGGUGAGGAGAGUAUCCUAAGGCCAGCGAGAGAACUGUUGUUAAGGAACUCGGCAAAAUGACCCCGUAACUUAGGGAUAAGGGGUGCCACCAUCAGGUGGCCGCAGAGAAUAGGCCCAAGCGACUGUUUACCAAAAACAUAGGUUUCUGCUAAGUCGCAAGACGAUGUAUAGGAGCUGACGCCUGCCCGGUGCUGGAAGGUUAAGGGGAUCUGUUAGAGCAAUCGAAGCAGUGAACUUAAGCCCCAGUAAACGGCGGCCGUAACUAUAACGGUCCUAAGGUAGCGAAAUUCCUUGUCGGGUAAGUUCCGACCCGCACGAAAGGCGUAACGAUUUGGGCACUGUCUCAACAACAGACUCGGUGAAAUUGUAAUUCCGGUGAAGAUGCCGGAUACCUGCGACAGGACGGAAAGACCCCAUGGAGCUUUACUGUAGCUUGACAUUGGGUCUUGGUACUACAUGUACAGGAUAGGUGGGAGGCUUUGAAACCAGGACGCCAGUUUUGGCGGAGCCAUCCUUGGGAUACCACCCUUGUAGUACUGGGACUCUAACCAUAGGCCAUGAAUCUGGUCUUGGGACACUGUCAGGUGGGCAGUUUGACUGGGGCGGUCGCCUCCCAAAAGGUAACGGAGGCGCUCAAAGGUUCUCUCAGUACGGUCGGAAAUCGUACGUAGAGUGUAAAGGCAAAAGAGAGCUUGAUUGCAAGACAUACAGGUCGAGCAAGGAUGAA